AGCCCUGUAAUGUACGGCAUAUAAAAUUGCAAAUUUUAAAGAACGACUUAAACUUUCGUCGGGGCUU
rnacentral:tRNA from 1 species